UACGAAGGGGGCUAGCGUUGUUCGGAAUUACUGGGCGUAAAGGGCGCGUAGGCGGCCGAUUAAGUUAGAUGUGAAAGUCCUGGGCUCAACCUGGGGACUGCAUUUAAUACUGGUUGGCUUGAAUUCGGGAGAGGAUAGCGGAAUUCCCAGUGUAGAGGUGAAAUUCGUAGAUAUUGGGAAGAACACCGGUGGCGAAGGCGGCUAUCUGGACCGACAUUGACGCUGAGGCGCGAAAGCGUGGGGAGCAAACAGG
rnacentral:rRNA from 2 species